ensembl:lncRNA
UGGAAAACAAAGAGCGCCUGGACGCAGAGAACGGAUCAGCGAUUUCCAGAGGCAGAGCUGAUGUUAGUGGAGACAGAAGUGUGGCUGGAGCCACCUCCACGUUCGUUACAGGAGGAUGAGGGGGUGCCCCCAAAAGGGGGAGCAAGUCCUUUGUCUAGAGAAGCAAGUCUUUGGGGAGUUAUUGGUUAUGAACAGAAGACCCAAGGUGAUGGCUGCAAUGAGGAAUUCUGCUCCUGGAAAAAGGUCAACAGAGGGCAUGAAAAGGACCCUGGCUAAACCAAGGAAAUGGCAACCCACUCCACUGUUCUUGCCUGGAGAAUCCCAGGGACGGGGGAGCCUGGUGGGCUGCCGUCUAUGGGGUCGCACAGAGUCGGCCACGACUGAAGCGACUCAGCAGCAGCAGUAAGCACCAAUGGUUUCAGCAAACGUUCAUUAGCUGUUAAUUAGGGUCUGGUUUAUUUUGGCACUUUCUUAGGGAGCAAAGGAAAGGCUAGGAUGGUGCUGGCAGGUGACUGUCCACAGGAAGCCCGGAGGCAGUAAAGAGGUGUUGGGAGGAGCCGGGCAGAGAGCCCAGCUGCCAGCGUGGCCAGGACAAGGUGAUGCCUGGAGACCACAGCUGAUGCGCGUUCGCUGGGAACCCUCAGAAACACUCAGGAGGGGACUGAACUGGCGUGCUGCAAUUCAUGGGGUCGCAAAGAGUCGGACACCUGAGCAACUGAACUGAAUUGAAAUGAACUUACUGAAACCGAAUAUGGGGUGUGGACUAGAGUUAUCCUAUUCGGUUAGCAAGAGAAUGGUUGCCUCUCAGUUAUCUGCAGACUUGGGGACAUUCAGGUUACACUGAAUUACUGUACUGAUAAUAAGUAACAUUCAUGGCAAAAUAAAACACUAUAUAGUUUGCAAAGCAUUUCUUUGUUUGCUAUAUCAUUUCACAGAUGAUUCAUUACAUGUAAGUUUCCAAACCUAUCCCGAUAUUUGGAAAAGAAUUAUUUUCCCUGAACAGCGCAUGUAAAAACAUUUAAACAGACCCUAGCACCAUCUUAGAAUAGAGUUACGUAGUUAUUCGUCCAGGACUAGCUCAGUUAGUAAAGAAUCUUCCUGCAAUGCCAGAGACCUGGGUUCGAUUCCUGGGUUGGGAAGAUCCCCCGGAGAAGGAAAUGGCAAUCCACUCCAGUAUUAUUGCCUGGAGAAUCCCAUGGACAGAGG